rnacentral:rRNA from 1 species
UACAGAGGUCUCAAGCGUUAAUCGAAAUCACUGGGCUUAAAGGGUGCGUAGGCGGAUCUGUAAGUGCUUUGUGAAAUCCCAUGGCUCAACCAUGGAAUUGCUUGGCAGACUGCAGGUCUUGAGGUCGGUAGGGGCUGCCGGAACUCUAGGUGGAGCGGUGAAAUGCGUAGAUAUCUAGAGGAACGCCGAAGGUGAAGACAGGCAGCUGGGCCGAUUCUGACGCUGAGGCACGAAAGCGUGGGGAGCAAACGGG